rnacentral:rRNA from 1 species
UGAACGCUAGCGGCAGGCUAACACAUGCAAGUCGAGGGGCGAGCGCGGGUAGCAAUACCUGGCGGCGACCGGCGCAAGGGUGCGUAACGCGUGAGCAACAUACCCGUCACAGGGGGAUAAGCGAUGGAAACGUCGUCUAAUACCGCAUAACACACUGGGCGGCAUCGUCCGGAGUUGAAACUUACGAGGGUGACGGAUUGGCUCGCGAGACAUUAGCUAGUCGGCGGGUAACGGCCCACCGAGGCAACGAUGUCUAGGGGUUCUGAGAGGAAGGUCCCCCACACUGGAACUGAGACACGGUCCAGACUCCUACGGGAGGCAGCAGUGAGGAAUAUUGGACAAUGGCCGGAAGGCUGAUCCAGCCAUGCCGCGUGAAAGGAUGACGGUCCUAUGGAUUGUAAACUUCUUUUGUACGGGAGCAAUAAGGGCGUCGUGACGUCCGAUGAGAGUACCGUACGAAUAAGCAUCGGCUAACUCCGUGCCAGCCGCUGC